rnacentral:lncRNA from 1 species
CAUUUGGGUUGAUGUUUGAUGUGUGCUCUUGAACUAGGAGUUUCCAUUUGAGCUUAACUGUGGGAUCAUUAUCAUGUUCAUCCCAGUGAGAUACCAAAAUGCAUUGAGGAUCUCUUAUGACACUUGUGUGAUUGCUUAUGCUUUGUGCUUGCUUAUUCCAAAGGAUGGGAACCACUUCGAUCAUCUAUAUGAUCUCAAGAGAGGAACUCCUAGUGUGGUUUCAUUUCUUAACCAUCAUCUUUUUGUUUCAC